AUUUGUAAAAUCUCAUGGGCUUGAGAACAGUUUUGAAAAGUUUGAGAAAGGGUUUUUUGGGAGGAAGACUCUCCUUUCUCCUGGGUUUUGGAAACAGGUUUUGUAGAUUUACCUUUCUGGGCCUGAUUGGCCUGAGUUAUGUUUUGUAGAGCCUGAAGAACUUCAGGAGAUUUGGACAGCGAUUCUAUCCAUUUUUGAAUCUGGCUAUCUGUUUCUGGAGC
rnacentral:misc_RNA from 1 species